rnacentral:rRNA from 1 species
AUUGAACGCUGGCGGCAGGCCUAACACAUGCAAGUCGAGCGGAUGAAGGGAGCUUGCUCCUGGAUUCAGCGGCGGACGGGUGAGUAAUGCCUAGGAAUCUGCCUGGUAUUGGGGGAUAACGUCCGGAAACGGGCGCUAAUACCGCAUACGUCCUGAGGGAGAAAGUGGGGGAUCUUCGGACCUCACGCUAUCAGAUGAGCCUAGGUCGGAUUAGCUAGUUGGUGUGGUAAAGUCCUACCAAGGCGACUAUCCGUAACUGGUCUGAGAGGAUGAUCAGUCACACUGGAACUGAGACACGGUCCAGACUCCUACGGGAGGCAGCAGUGGGGAAUAUUGGACAAUGGGCGAAAGCCUGAUCCAGCCAUGCCGCGUGUGUGAAGAAGGUCUUCGGAUUGUAAAGCACUUUAAGUUGGGAGGAAGGGCAGUAAGUUAAUACCUUGCUGUUUUGACGUUACCAAAAGAAAAAGCACCGGCUAGCUUCGUG